CCGCCGGCCGGUGCCACGUGUAACGCCGCGGGGGAAUCCCCGGGGACACAGGGCUGGCUGGAUUCGCCUCUCGGCCACAGCUCUGCGCUCCACGAGCUGCUCCUGCCCGGUCCCCGCAGGACUCGAACCCGCGACACCUCUGCCGCGCCCUAGCCCUCGCGCCCCGCCGGAGUCACCCCCUGACACUGCCAGGAUCCCCGCCCGGCUGCGGGCACCACGUCCCCCGGGCCUUCGCGGGGCCCCGAGGGCCAAGACCGAGGACGCGCCGAGCCGAGGCUGCCUGGGGACCUGGUCCAUCCGGUUCUGAUGGGGUCCGCAGGGAAAAGGCACUAUCCCGGAAAGCUUCCUGGAGGAGGGGAGCGCGAAGGACGAAACUGGGCCUCCCUCUAGGCGGAGCUUAGUGUUUAAAGCUGGCCGGCCUUUCUCCUUUUCAUAGUAAUUAUUCUCUCACUAAGCUCAGGAAGCACGCCCUCCACCAUCUCAUUAAGCGAACCGGCUGUGGCUGACUCUUCCCUCCUCUAACAACUGUGGCUCCUCAUAGCCGGCACAAUGACGUCCAAAGCUGUCGGCUCCCGCACGGGUUCCUCCCUUUGAGGCUUGUCUUUCGCACUCCUUCCACCUGCUCGGAGAACUGCGCCCAGGAGGCUGAGCAAGGCUGAUCUUCUACCUGGAAAAGUGGAAGAAGUGAGAGGUCACGAGUCACUUGGACAUCACUGUACCACCUAAGGCCCAAUGGAGAAUGAUAAAGAAAACAAAACGCAGCACAUUCACAUUUUCCCGAGGAACUGUAAAGAUGAUCUCUACAGGGAUAAACGUUGUAAAGCCUGAAGCUCAAU
rnacentral:lncRNA from 10 species